AGAAAAGGUAAAACUUGUCGCGACGACAGUAUUUCCGCAGACGCCGCGAACUUCACAGGGACAUUUCCUUGGUGUUCUCCCUUCGUCAUUUUGUUCAAUGGAUUUGAAAAAGAGGAAAAGCCGUCGAGAAUUUACGAAUUUGAUUUGUAUCAAGUAGUCGUAAUAUGUGAAACAUCAGCUUCUUGCAACGAAAUAUACGUACUCGUGAUGACUGGUAUUAUCUGAAGUGGUUCCUCUAUGCAGAGUGUUUUUAUUUUCACAAUAAUUAAUAUUGCAAUGUGUUCUUCGUCUAAUGCUAUUGUUAACAUCUGAGUAAGUAAUAUUGUUCUUUUUAAUUUAUUUUUGCGCCAGAUCGUUUGGCGUUUGAUUCUCUAUGAAGGAACGCAAUGUAGCAUAUUA